GCCCCCGUUCACCUCCGAGCCCAGCGGGAACAGCACCGCCACCGCCGCCUCCGCCGCCCGGAGCCAACAACCGCCCAGCUGCCCAGCCGCUUCCCACCGUCGCCGAGGGCCACGCCCAUUGGCCAGCCGUGGGGCCCUGAUGGAAGUCCAUUGGACCACAGCGCUGCCGUUUCCUCGGGUCCGCCUCCUCAUCCUCCAUUGGCUCACAGCUCAGGGGGCAGGUUCCGAGGGUCAUUUCUCCGCUCCCCACACACACACCUCUGGAAGCGGUGGCAUCUACAUUGAUUGCUAGGAUGAUGCAGGGCAAACGUGCAGAUGAGCCUACGAUGACGGGAACUGCGGGCUCACUGCUGGCUCUGCGACUGCUGCGGGUGCCCGUGUUUCUGUUUUGUUUGGGGCUUUGGUUGUUUUGAACUAGCAAACUGUUUCUGAACGCGAUGGCAUCGUUUAAAGUUCCCAUUGGGAGUGGAAGAAAGUUCCAGAUGCCCCCCCCCCACGUGUUCCCAGGGUGAUAUAAAUACAUCCUGAAGAAAUAAACAAGAGAAUGGCAGUCGUGUCUCCUGGAAACAACUCACAGUCCUCGAUGUGAAAGUGACUCAGAGGCUCCUCUGGAGUUUACUGGGGGAGGAAAGGACAACUCAAGAGGAGGACAAACAGCGCGGAAAUGCUGAGUUACCUCAGCUUCUGCCUCCUGCCUCCACCUUGGCUUAAAAUUUUGGGUUUGUUAAAAAUUAAAGAUUUUGGCUCGG